UACGGAGGGGGCGAGCGUUAUUCGGAAUUAUUGGGCGUAAAGGGCGCGUAGGCGGCCGGAUAAGUCAAAGGUGAAAUCCCUCGGCUCAACUGAGGAACUGCCUUUGAAACUGUUUGGCUCGAGUCCGGGAGGGGGUAGCGGAAUUCCCAGUGUAGCGGUGAAAUGCGUAGAUAUCAGGAGGAACACCGGUGGCGAAGGCGGCUCUCUGGACGGAUACUGACGCUGAGGCGCGAAAGCGUGGGGAUCAAACAGG
rnacentral:rRNA from 1 species